rnacentral:rRNA from 1 species
GGGGAAUAUUGGGCAAUGGGGGAAACCCUGACCCAGCAACGCCGCGUGAAGGAUGAAGGUCUUCGGAUUGUAAACUUCUUUGAUCAGGGACGAAGAAAUGACGGUACCUGAAGAACAAGCCACGGCUAACUACGUGCCAGCAGCCGCGGUAAUACGUAGGUGGCAAGCGUUAUCCGGAUUUACUGGGUGUAAAGGGCGUGUAGGCGGUUCUGCAAGUCAGAUGUGAAAUUCCCGGGCUUAACCCGGGCGCUGCAUCUGAAACUGCAGAACUUGAGUACUGGAGAGGAUAGUGGAAUUCCUAGUGUAGCGGUAAAAUGCGUAGAUAUUAGGAGGAACACCAGUGGCGAAGGCGGCUAUCUGGACAGUAACUGACGCUGAGGCGCGAAAGCGUGGGGAGCAAAC